UGGGGAAUAUUGGACAAUGGGGGAAACCCUGAUCCAGCAAUGCCGCGUGAGUGAAGAAGGCCUUAGGGUUGUAAAGCUCUUUCGCCCGCGAAGAUAAUGACGGUAGCGGGAGAAGAAGCCCCGGCUAACUCCGUGCCAGCAGCCGCGGUAAUACGGAGGGGGCUAGCGUUGUUCGGAAUUACUGGGCGUAAAGCGUACGUAGGCGGAUGCGCAAGUUGGGGGUGAAAUCCCGGGGCUUAACCUCGGAAUUGCCCUCAAAACUGCACGUCUUGAGACCGAGAGAGGUAAGGGGAAUUCCUAGUGUAGAGGUGAAAUUCGUAGGUAUUAGGAAGAACACCAGUGGCGAAGGCGCCUUACUGGCUCGGUACUGACGCUGAGGUACGAAAGCGUGGGGAGCAAACA
rnacentral:rRNA from 1 species